GAUAGAUGAACUGACAUCUCUCACCUCCUGGGUCACCAGAUUCUAUUUUUCUACUAAUCUGAUUGGUGGAGUGGGUAUCUCUUUCUUUCUUCUCUAUACCAUGUGUGUCUUAUCUGAAACAGUUCACUCAAUCAAAAAGGAUUACCUUUUUUUUUUUUUUAUAGAAGAAGACCUUCUUUUCUUUACCACAUGGGUAUAUGAGUUAAGAUUUUCUUCUGCUAGAAUUUCCAAGAAGAUUUAGCAGAUCCACAGCUGUUAGACCUGUAGCAGUUAAAAUAAUUCCUUAUUAAGUCACUAAACCUGAUUGUAGACUGUCAUG
rnacentral:snRNA from 1 species